rnacentral:rRNA from 1 species
UACUUUGGUGGCGACCGGCGCACGGGUGCGUAACGCGUAUGCAACCUACCUUUAACAGGGGCAUAACACUGAGAAAUUGGUACUAAUUCCCCAUAACAUUCGAGAAGGCAUCUUCUUGGGUUAAAAACUCCGGUGGUUAAAGAUGGGCAUGCGUUGUAUUAGCUAGUUGGUGGGGUAACGGCUCACCAAGGCGACGAUACAUAGGGGGACUGAGAGGUUAACCCCCCACACUGGUACUGAGACACGGACCAG